CUCUUCCUGCCGGCAGCAGUUUCAGACUUGUCUCUGAAAAGGAGCUAGUUGCUUUGUGUGUGUGUGUGUUCUGUGCUGUGAGCACUGCUACAGGGAGCUGAGUGGAGAGCUUGGAAAUCCGGGAAACCACGUCAUGCUGAGUGAGGGGCUGUUGUGAUGGGGAGAAGCAGACGGUGAGGUGUUGGAGCCAGUGUGGUGGGUCCGCCCCGGAUCUGAGUGGAAACCUGCAGCCAGAUUCCCUGUCCUGAAAAGUGGGCUUUGCUGGAUCCUUCCCAGAAGACUCUCCAUAAAGAUGUGAUAUUGGAGACUACAGGAUCCUUACUGCUAUAGAGGGAUACAGGAUCACAGUGAAAGUGGCAUGGCAACAGGUGUCAGACAUGGCUGCUACAUAUCAUGAUGCUUAGAUCUCACAUUCUCAACCUGCAGGAUGAACCAGAGGGUGGAAAUGGGAAACAGUGUGCUUAUGUAAAUUAUGAAAGCAUACCCCAGGACAUAUUUCCUCCAGCAGGGCAUCAUUUCCUAAUUCAUCCCAAAUGAUACCACCAACUAAGAAGUAUUGAUAUCUCUGACUCCAAGCCUACAUGCUUGUUUUCUGUUAUAUGAAGCAGUCCAUGUACUGGAAAACUAUAAGCCUUUAUAUGCCUCAACAUCUGGGUUACAGGAAUGAAUGCAUACAAAAGAAAAAUAGUCAGGAUUGGAAAUGUUCAAUGAUUUUAAUUAAUUUUUAUUUUGUUAUGUCAGUGUGUCUUCAGAUAUAUGCAUGUGAUUAGAUGCGUAAACCCUUUAGUCUUCCUUUAUUUAUUUCUAACAGGAAUUACAGAAUGUUGUCAAAAAAAAAACCUCACUUGGAUUCUGGGCAGGGACUUGUCUUAACUGAUUGGCCCUGUCUUUAUCCCUCUCAUUAUUUGUUUUUAAGAUUUUAUUUAUUAUGUAUACAACAUUCUGCUUCCAUGUAUAUCUGCACACCAGAAUAGGGCACCAGAUCUCAUAACAGAUGGUUGUGAGGCACCAUGUGGUUGCUGGGAAUUGAACUCAGGACCUCUGGAAGAGCAGUCAGUGCUCUUAACCUCUGAGCCAUCUCUCCAGCCCUCCUUCUCAGUAUUUUAUACCAUUGUAUCCUCAGUAUUAGGAAUUACAAGAAGUUGUCAAACACCUGACCUUGGUCCUUGGAAUGAACUUUUAACUGCUUGGUCACAUCUCUAGCCCUAUGAUAUUUUAAACAUUUAUACGUCAUCUUGACAUUAGAAAAUAAGGAAGAAUGAGAAAAAUCUUAUUCAUGUAAACAAUAUGGUAAAGAUUUUGCAUAUCACAGUUGACUUCAGUUUCAAUGAAAAAGUUCUGUUUCAUCUAUUACAUUAUACCCUUGAAGCAAGUAAAUUGUUUACCAUAUUCAUGCAAGUAUGAUGGUUGAGAUCAGAGUAUUGUGGUUUGCAUUUUGAAAGUUUUGUAGUAGGUAUUGAAGUGUCCUGUAUAUGUGGCAAAUCCACUUACUGAAGUUUAUUUGCUGGUUCAUAUAUUGCUUCUUUGACUCUGUUCAUCUUCUGUUGUAUUUUCACUUUGUGAUAGGCAUUUUUUUCUGCUUAAAUGUAUAGAAUGGGUUGCCCAUUAUCUAAGUGGUUCAUUGUUUACUUAAAUAUCAGACAGGGUUAUCCUACUUUUCACAUAAAGGUGUCUGUGAAAGGGUGGUGGCUUCUUGGUCCUUGUCUAAUUUUUUUUAUAUUUCCACAGAUUUCCUCCAGAUGUCGUUUGUUUUCCAUGCUGGCUUGGAUGUCAGUAAUUAGUCAGGGCUCCCUUUGAACUCAUAGGUCUGGUGUUUCAUCCUCCUGAGUUCAAGACCAACAGUAGAUGAUGUACUCCUGAUGUGUGCUCCUUUGUAGACAUGUUUUAACAAUGUUAAUAUUAACAUGCUUAAUAGAAGAUAAGAAAAUACUUCAUGUGUCUAUCCCAAGAAGUGUCUGGUGGA
ensembl:lncRNA